rnacentral:lncRNA from 1 species
AUUCAUCAUAAGAAAAAAAAAACAAAUUUAAGACAAUCUUAAGAAUUAAAUACAAAUCAACACUGUAAAGCAUUUACAAAAACAUAAAUUGGAACUCAGUCCCUUAGAUGUUCUUAGAUAUGCGAUCAUUACCGCAAAUCAUUACAGGUCUGUAGGAAUCAUCACAGUUACUUAAACAAUUACUAGAAUAACAAAUUUAAAAAUAAAUUAAUGUAAUUUGUAAACAUGCACAACAGAAGUAGGUAGUUGCUACAGUGUUCCCAAACAAACAAGAGAAAAUUGAACUCAGUCCCUUAGAUGUUCUUAGAUCUGCGAUCAUAUCCGCAAAUCAUUACAGGUCUGUAGGAAUCAUCACUGUUGCAAUCAAAUUACUGAACCCAAAUGCAUAAUAUUAUUAAAUAUUAACAAAAUAAACGUUUUAAAAAUAAACAACGAAAUUACUUUACGAAAAAAUUUAGUUGCACCAAUAAUCCCCAAAUAAAUAAGAAAAAAUUGGAGGUAAUAAUUUAUGAAGGCAACACGAUUAAUAUUGCUUCAAGGGAACGAGUCACAUGGAACUGAUAAAUCCACAAACCAGAUAAUGAAGCCUAAUAAACUUAAUUGCAAAACCCAAUUCAGAUUGGAUCUUCCUGCAUCUGAUACAAGAAUCUAAAUUCAAGAAAAACGAAAAACCCAGUUCAUAAAAACGAAAAACCCCUAGAACCCAUGAAUCCUCGAACAUUUUCAUCAAAUCCUCGAACAUUUUCAUCAAAAACGAAAAACCCCUAGAACCCAUGAAUCCACAUGCCAUUUCAAGAAGAACCCACAGAUCUUAUCACAAAUAUUGAUCAAUAAACAAAACCCAGAUUAUCGAUUCACUUCAAUCAAUCAAAUGACAUUCAAAACGAUACGAUUUCAAGAACUUCGAAGCCGUAAACAUUGAUACAGAAAGAAAAUCUAAAUCUAGAGAGAGAGAGAGAGAGAGAGAGGAGAGAGAUGUGCUAACCUCAAGAAAAUGGAGGAGCGUAAGAAGAUCUCGCGGCCGACUUC